GUCGCAAAGAGUUGGACAUGACUGAGCAACUGAACUGAACUGAACUGAAAAGGCAGUAAAAAAAAAAAAAUAUAUAUAUAUAUCUCUCUCUCUCUCUCUCUCUCUCUCUCUCCUAACAGUAGAGCAGCUCCUGGCACAGAGUGAGGACUCAGUAAAUGCAAUUAUUAUUUCGCUUUAUGUAUCUACAAAGCAGACCCCACUAGGAGCCCGACAUUCGUCACCUGCUUCAGUCUUCACAAGGGCUCCCUAAGGAAGGUAGAAGAAUGCUUUCCAUCACAGAGGAGAAGAGAGGCACAGAGAGGGUCGGAGGCUUCCCCAAUGUCACACAGCGGGUGCUGGUGGAGCUGGAUGUUUGGAACUGGGCGAAAGGGGUAGGCGGGCGGUCAGAGCCUGACAUCAUCACCGCCGGAUCUAGAGACCUCAUUUUGCUGGGAAGCCUGUGUGAGAGUCAGGCCUGCUCACUCUGCGCCUCAGCUGUGGACCCCUUCCAGGCCCAAGUUUCAGCCUCGCAGACCGAGUCAGGACAAAGAAGGGUGCCCUCGGUGGAGACUCUCAGCCCCUGCAUUUGGAUUGCUGCCCGGCCCCCUGCCCCUCCUCCUCCCACAAACAGUUGUGCUGACAUCUCAGGAAAGAAGGGCCUGAGUGGGGGCUUCAUGGAGCCCAUUGUACAGAUGGGGAAGCUAAGGCUCAGAGAUGUCAGUCCAGUGAUUAUAUGCCCUGCCCUGCCCUAUUUUCCGGAGUCAAAUAUUCAGAAAAAUAACCAAGUUGUCCAAGAGUGA
rnacentral:lncRNA from 1 species